UUAAGCGACUAAGCGUACACGGUGGAUGCCCUGGCAGUCAGAGGCGAUGAAGGACGUGCUAAUCUGCGAUAAGCGUCGGUAAGGUGAUAUGAACCGUUAUAACCGGCGAUUUCCGAAUGGGGAAACCCAGUGUGUUUCGACACACUAUCAUUAACUGAAUCCAUAGGUUAAUGAGGCGAACCGGGGGAACUGAAACAUCUAAGUACCCCGAGGAAAAGAAAUCAACCGAGAUUCCCCCAGUAGCGGCGAGCGAACGGGGAGCAGCCCAGAGCCUGAAUCAGUGUGUGUGUUAGUGGAAGCGUCUGGAAAGGCGCGCGAUACAGGGUGACAGCCCCGUACACAAAAAUGCACAUAUUGUGAGCUCGAUGAGUAGGGCGGGACACGUGGUAUCCUGUCUGAAUAUGGGGGGACCAUCCUCCAAGGCUAAAUACUCCUGACUGACCGAUAGUGAACCAGUACCGUGAGGGAAAGGCGAAAAGAACCCCGGCGAGGGGAGUGAAAAAGAACCUGAAACCGUGUACGUACAAGCAGUGGGAGCACGCUUAGGCGUGUGACUGCGUACCUUUUGUAUAAUGGGUCAGCGACUUAUAUUCUGUAGCAAGGUUAACCGAAUAGGGGAGCCGAAGGGAAACCGAGUCUUAACUGGGCGUUAAGUUGCAGGGUAUAGACCCGAAACCCGGUGAUCUAGCCAUGGGCAGGUUGAAGGUUGGGUAACACUAACUGGAGGACCGAACCGACUAAUGUUGAAAAAUUAGCGGAUGACUUGUGGCUGGGGGUGAAAGGCCAAUCAAACCGGGAGAUAGCUGGUUCUCCCCGAAAGCUAUUUAGGUAGCGCCUCGUGAAUUCAUCUCCGGGGGUAGAGCACUGUUUCGGCAAGGGGGUCAUCCCGACUUACCAACCCGAUGCAAACUGCGAAUACCGGAGAAUGUUAUCACGGGAGACACACGGCGGGUGCUAACGUCCGUCGUGAAGAGGGAAACAACCCAGACCGCCAGCUAAGGUCCCAAAGUCAUGGUUAAGUGGGAAACGAUGUGGGAAGGCCCAGACAGCCAGGAUGUUGGCUUAGAAGCAGCCAUCAUUUAAAGAAAGCGUAAUAGCUCACUGGUCGAGUCGGCCUGCGCGGAAGAUGUAACGGGGCUAAACCAUGCACCGAAGCUGCGGCAGCGACGCUUAUGCGUUGUUGGGUAGGGGAGCGUUCUGUAAGCCUGUGAAGGUGUGCUGUGAGGCAUGCUGGAGGUAUCAGAAGUGCGAAUGCUGACAUAAGUAACGAUAAAGCGGGUGAAAAGCCCGCUCGCCGGAAGACCAAGGGUUCCUGUCCAACGUUAAUCGGGGCAGGGUGAGUCGACCCCUAAGGCGAGGCCGAAAGGCGUAGUCGAUGGGAAACAGGUUAAUAUUCCUGUACUUGGUGUUACUGCGAAGGGGGGACGGAGAAGGCUAUGUUGGCCGGGCGACGGUUGUCCCGGUUUAAGCGUGUAGGCUGGUUUUCCAGGCAAAUCCGGAAAAUCAAGGCUGAGGCGUGAUGACGAGGCACUACGGUGCUGAAGCAACAAAUGCCCUGCUUCCAGGAAAAGCCUCUAAGCAUCAGGUAACAUCAAAUCGUACCCCAAACCGACACAGGUGGUCAGGUAGAGAAUACCAAGGCGCUUGAGAGAACUCGGGUGAAGGAACUAGGCAAAAUGGUGCCGUAACUUCGGGAGAAGGCACGCUGAUAUGUAGGUGAAGUCCCUCGCGGAUGGAGCUGAAAUCAGUCGAAGAUACCAGCUGGCUGCAACUGUUUAUUAAAAACACAGCACUGUGCAAACACGAAAGUGGACGUAUACGGUGUGACGCCUGCCCGGUGCCGGAAGGUUAAUUGAUGGGGUCAGCGCAAGCGAAGCUCUUGAUCGAAGCCCCGGUAAACGGCGGCCGUAACUAUAACGGUCCUAAGGUAGCGAAAUUCCUUGUCGGGUAAGUUCCGACCUGCACGAAUGGCGUAAUGAUGGCCAGGCUGUCUCCACCCGAGACUCAGUGAAAUUGAACUCGCUGUGAAGAUGCAGUGUACCCGCGGCAAGACGGAAAGACCCCGUGAACCUUUACUAUAGCUUGACACUGAACAUUGAGCCUUGAUGUGUAGGAUAGGUGGGAGGCUU
rnacentral:rRNA from 1 species